rnacentral:rRNA from 1 species
ACGGCUCAGUAACACGUAGUCAAACCUGCCCUCGAAGACGCUGGACAACCCCGGGGAAACUGGGGAUUAAAUUCCCAUGAUAGGCCAACUCAAUCUGGAAGGGAGAGAUGGCUUAAAGGGGAAUGUGAGAGCUUCUUUUCUUUGCAUCUGCUCGAGGAUGGGACUGCGACCGAUCAGGCUGUUGGCGGGGUAAUGGCCCACCAAACCUGUAACCGGUACGGGCCUUGAGAGAGGGGGCCCGGAGAUGGACACUGAGAGAAGGGUCCAGGUCCUACGGGGCGCAGCAGGCGCGAAACCUUCGCAAUGCGCGAAAGCGUGACAAGGUUAAUCCGAGUGGUUCCCGCUUAGGGAAUCUUUUGCCGGCUGUAAAUAGGCCGGUGAAUAAGGGGAGGGCAAGUCUGGUGUCAGCCGCCGCGGUAAUACCAGCUCCUCGAGUGGUCGGGGCGAUUAUUGGGCCUAAAGCAUCCGUAGCCUGUUCUGUAGGUCUUCUGUUAAAUCCAACGGCUCAACCGUUGGCGGGCAGAGGAUACCGCAGGACUAGGAGGCGGGAGAGGUGGGCGGUACUCCACGUGUAGGGGUAAAAUCCUUUGAUCCGUGGAAGACCACCAGUGGCGAAGGCGGCCCACCAGAACGCGCUCGACGGUGAGGGAUGAAAGCUGGGGGAGCGAACCGGAUUAGAUACCCGGGUAGUCCCAGCCGUAAACGAUGCGAGCUAGAUGAUCCAGUCGCAAAUCGCGACUGGAGUGUCGCAGGGAAGCCGUUAAGCUCGCCGCCUGGGGAGUACGGUCGCUAACUGAAACUUAAAGGAAUUGGCGGGGGAG